GGGAACGCGCGCCGACAGGCGGAGAGCCAGCUUCUGCCUUAAAGAUCGCCCGAGAGCUGAGAAACGUGUUGCCAAAAGAAAUUGCAUAAAAAUAUUCGCACUGGUGAGCUCUGGGUGGCGGGGUGAUAGUGAGCAGUUUUUACAGGCUACCGUGGCUCCUACUGUUUUUCACAAAGUAUUACAGGGACUACGUCGGGUCAAAAUUACUUCUGGUUAGCCGCGGGCCCCACGUCCCAGGGCUGAACAAGUCCGGUCUGCGGCAACACGAGGCUCUCCCGUGACAGGGCCUCGCCCAAGGCGCCCCCAGCAGAUCUCCUGGGAUUCAGAACUACCAAAUCGCCGGCAGACACGUGUCCAUCAGAGGAAGCCUGUGACAGCCCCCAGGAUAAAAUCAAAAGGACAAUGGCAAGUGAUAGCAAAGACGUAGAGAAGCUGGAAUUCUCCUAAAUCCUUGGUAGGAGUGUAAAAUGGUGCAGCUUCUUCUAUAAUUAAACAUCCCCUACCAUACUCCCAGGAACCCACCCAAGAGAAAUACAACCAGAGAGACUUGCAUGCAAGCAUUCACAACAGCAUUCAUUGUUCACACCAACCAGAAUGUCCACCAACCGCGGAUGCAUGAGCAGCAGGGAAACGGCCAUGAAAAGAAACUGCUGAGACAUGGGCCUACGUGGAUGAACCUCAAAAACGCUAGGCCAGGUGAAAGAUGCCAGACAAGAAUAUUCCAUGAUUCCAUUUAUGUGACACUUCUUAAAAAGGUCAAUCUCUAGAGAGAAAGCAAAUUCAUGUUUGCCAGGGGGUGAGGGUGGGAUCAACUGCAAACAGGCACGAAGGAACUUUUUUGGGUGAUGAAAAAAUAAAACUCUGGAUGUCGAACAUAUUUUAAAACUAGAUUGCAAUGAUAGUUGCAUAACUGUAUACAUUUAUUAAAAUCAGGGAACACUUACAAUGA